rnacentral:rRNA from 1 species
GACGAACGCUGGCGGCGUGCUUAACACAUGCAAGUCGUACGGUAAGGCCCUUUCGGGGGUACACGAUUGGCGAACGGGUGCGUAACACGUGAGUAACCUGCCCACAACUUUGGGAUAACGCUAGGAAACUGGUGCUAAUACUGGAUAUGUGCUCCUGCUGCAUGGUGGGGGUUGGAAAGCUCCGGCGGUUGUGGAUGGACUCGCGGCCUAUCAGCUUGUUGGUGGGGUAGUGGCCUACCAAGGCGGCGACGGGUAGCCGGCCUGAGAGGGUGACCGGCAACAUUGGGACUAAGAAACGGCCCAGACUCCGACGGGAGGCAGCAGUGGGGAAUAUUGCACAAUAGGGGAAAGCCUGAUGCAGCAACGCCGCGAGAGGGAUGACGGCCUUCGGGUUGUAAACCGCUUUAAGCAGGGACGAAGCUUUUUGUGACGGUACCUGCAGAAGAAACACAGGCUAACUACGGG